rnacentral:rRNA from 1 species
UACGGAGGGGGCUAGCGUUGUUCGGAAUUACUGGGCGUAAAGCGCACGUAGGCGGCUUUGCAAGUUAGAGGUGAAAGCCCGGGGCUCAACUCCGGAAUUGCCUUUAAAACUGCAUCGCUAGAAUUGUGGAGAGGUAAGUGGAAUUCCGAGUGUAGAGGUGAAAUUCGUAGAUAUUCGCAAGAACACCAGUGGCGAAGGCGGCUCACUGGCCCGGUACUGACGCUGAGGCACGAAAGCGUGGGGAGCAAACAGGG